rnacentral:rRNA from 1 species
CCGGCGCACGGGUGCGUAACGCGUAUGCAACCUACCUUUAACAGGGGAGUAACACUGAGAAAUUGGUACUAAUACCCCAUAAUAUCAUAGAAGGCAUCUUUUAUGGUUGAAAAUUCCGAUGGUUAGAGAUGGGCAUGCGUUGUAUUAGCUAGUUGGUGGGGUAACGGCUCACCAAGGCGACGAUACAUAGGGGGACUGAGAGGGUGAUCGGCCACACUGGGACUGAGACACGGCCCAG